rnacentral:misc_RNA from 1 species
GAUGAAGAACGCAGCAAAAUGCGAUAAGUAAUGCGAAUUGCAGAAUUCAGUGAGUCAUCGAAUCUUUGAACGCACAUUGCGCCCUGUGGUAUUCCGCAGGGCAUGCCUGUUCGAGCGUCAUUUCAACCCUCAAGCUCUGCUUGGUGUUGGGCCCUGCCCGCUGCGGCCGGCCCUAAAGACAGUGGCGGUGCCGCCUGGCCCUGAGCGUAGUACAUCUCUCGCUCCAGUGCCCGGUGGUAGCCUGCCAGAACCCCAACUCUCGUGGUUGACCUCGGAUCAGGUAGGGAUACCCGCUGAACUUAAGCAUAUCAAUAAGCGGAGGA